ACAUGACUUUGAUCUGCGUCCUCAUCUGGACUCUCCUCUGCUGCUGCUUCACAGAGUCCAGAGGACAGGUCACAGUGACUCAGCCUGCAGCAGUGACAUCUGAUCUGGGAGGAACCGUCACCAUCACAUGUAAAACCAGUCAGGAUCUUUCUUGUGAUUCUCUUAGUUACUGUUUAAACUGGUACCAACAGAAAGAUGGACAACCUCCUAAACUCCUCAUAUCAUUUGCCAGCAUCAGAGAAUCAGGGAUUCCAGAUCGUUUUACAGGCAGUGGCUAUAACUCUGACUUCACUCUGACCAUCAGUGGAGUUCAGGCUGAAGAUGCUGCAGUUUAUUACUGUCAGAGUCAUCAUGAAAUCAACAGUCAGUAUGUGUUCACACAGUGA